rnacentral:miRNA from 1 species
AUCUCGGCUCGUAUACAUAAA